rnacentral:rRNA from 1 species
UUCGGAGAGUUUGAUCCUGGCUCAGGACGAACGCUGGCGGCGUGCCUAAUACAUGCAAGUCGAGCGAAUCGAUGGGAGCUUGCUCCCUGAGAUUAGCGGCGGACGGGUGAGUAACACGUGGGCAACCUGCCUAUAAGACUGGGAUAACUUCGGGAAACCGGAGCUAAUACCGGAUACGUUCUUUUCUCGCAUGAGAGAAGAUGGAAAGACGGUUUACGCUGUCACUUAUAGAUGGGCCCGCGGCGCAUUAGCUAGUUGGUGAGGUAAUGGCUCACCAAGGCGACGAUGCGUAGCCGACCUGAGAGGGUGAUCGGCCACACUGGGA